AGCUCCAUUCCUGGUGAUAUUCAAGGCCGGGUUGGACAGAGCCUUGGGUGACAUGGUUUAGUUGGGAGGUGUUCCUGCCCAUGGCAGGGGGGUUGGAACUAGAUGAUCUUAAGGUCCUUUCCAACUCUGACUAUUCUAUGAUUCUAUGAUUAAGCAUGAUUCAC